UACGGAGGGGGCGAGCGUUGUCCGAAGUUACUGGGCGUAAAGCGCGCGUAGGCGGGAGGCCAAGUCCGCUGUGAAAGCCCGGGGCUCAACCCCGGCGGGUCGGUGGAGACUGGUCUUCUUGAAGAUGCUAGGGGGAGGUGGAAUUAUCGGUGUAGCGGUGAAAUGCGUAGAGAUCGAUAGGAACACCAGUGGCGAAGGCGGCCUCCUGGGGCACUCUUGACGCUGAGGCGCGAAAGCUGGGGGAGCGAACGGGAUUAGAUACCCCGGUAGUCCCAGCCCUAAACGAUGGAUACUAGGUGUGGGAGGUAUCGACCCCUCCCGUGCCGCCGCUAACGCAGUAAGUAUCCCGCCUGGGGAGUACGGCCGCAAGGUUGAA
rnacentral:rRNA from 1 species